AAGGAAAAGAAAGUGUAAAAGAAAGUAAUUUUUCUUUGUUUGGUUUGGAAGAAAACGAGAAAGAAAAUGAAUCUUAAAAUCAUUGUAGAAAAAGACCCAUAUAGCCGGUUCUUUUCCCCUUUCCUCACUUGAUCGGAGUGAAAAUGAGAGAGAGGGAGAGAAAAUCCCGACGAUGCCUCCUUCAAAAUUCCCGACUCCAUCGCGACUCCAUCAUCUCUCUCUCUCUCUCUCUCUCGAUCUCAAAUCUCCUUGAGCUCUCUCUCGUCGUUCUCUCGGAUCUCUCUCCCUCGACCUCUCUCGGAUCUCCUUCAUCCCCGCUGCCGGCAUCCCACUGCGCCACCACCGUGGCCGCCGCCUCGUAAAACUCAUCCAGGUAACCCUAAUCUCUCUCUACCUUUCAUCACUUUUUACCUUUUUUAGAAAAAUCAGAGGUCUAUUUUGAUCUAAGAGAGGAAGCCCAGCCAUUGUCGAGUUCACCAACACUUGAAAGGUUUGGAACGGUUAGAAGCAGAUCGAACUUUACUUGAGAAGAAAGAUGCAGAUAGUUCUUUAUGGGAUGAUCCUUCAAAAGCUCAAGAAACACUUCUCACCUUGACUGAUGUCAAAGAUAAAAUUAAAUUGCUCUCUGAGUUCAAGUCCCAGGAGCUGUUGUUACUAUAACUGCUGGUGCUGGGGGUACUGACGCAUGGUUCCUUGUAAGGGUGAAAAUCCGGUGAAGAAGUGAAUAACAUGCUUAAUGGAGCAUUUCCCUUUUUCUUUUUUUUUUGAGCAAAGAAUGCUUCAAAAGUUCUUGUUGGUUGGAUAUGAUGGAUCAGGAACCAGUACCAUAUUUAAACAGGGGAUGAAGGAUGCGAGAUUGAUGUUUUGAUGGGCUCACUAAAGUCAAAAACCAAGGACUUCGGCAUAUUUUUCUCUCUUUGGUUAAGAUUCUCUAUAUGAAAUUGAUUGUAAUAGACUUUGUUGGUUAAGAUCUUCUAUAUGAAAUUGAUUGUAAUAGACUUUGUUAGUUAAGAUUUUCUAUAUGAAAUUGAUUAUACUUUAUAUUA